GUGCUUGCUUCGGCAGCAUAUAUACUAAAAUUGGAAAGAUACAGAGAUUAGCAGGGCUCCUGCACAAGGAUGACACGCAAAUUCGUGAAGCAUUCCAUAUUUUU